UACGUAGGGUCCGAGCGUUGUCCGGAAUUAUUGGGCGUAAAGGGCUCGUAGGCGGUCUGUUGAGUCGGGUGUGAAAACUUACAGCUUAACUGUGAGCGUGCUUUCGAUACGGGCAGACUUGAGGCAUUCAGGGGAGAACGGAAUUCCUGGUGUAGCGGUGAAAUGCGCAGAUAUCAGGAAGAACACCCGUGGCUAAGGCGGUUCUCUAGUACGGUACUGACGCUGAGACGCGAAAGCGUGGGGAGCGAACAGG
rnacentral:rRNA from 1 species